CUUGAAUACAAUUAUACUUAUAAUUUUUUUUAUGUUUGGUUAUUAAGACAUAGGCACUUAUGAAGAAGAUGAAGAUUUUCGUAAUCUUGUUGAAUUAGUUGAAUCAGUGAUUCAGUCCCCUUGAGGAAAUUGCAGGCCUCCAGAAAGUUGAAGGUCCUGGCAUGAUCAGCACAAUGGAGGAGACGGCAAGGCUCUCUCACCAUGUUGAUUCUCUACCUCUUCUCGCAAAGCAACAGAUUAACUGGAUAAGAACCGCCAUCAAACCCAAUAUGGAAGCUCAGAACUAUGCUUAUGCAAAGCAAAUGCUCCACCAAGCAAUCAAGAAUGCAGAAUGAAGUGAAGAACCUGAUUAAAGAGGUCUCUCAAACAAAUCAAUUGAUCUAGAGGAAGAUCCCUCUCAAUUCUGUUAAGGCAAAACCUAGGGACUGAUGAAGUUGAUGAAGAUAUUCAAAAUCUUGUUGAACUAGUCGAAUCAAUGCUUCAAUCACCUUGAGCUGCCUCAUGCUCCUGCCAUUGUUCUUCCCACUACCAUGCCCUGCCCUUCACAACUAGUUGAUCUAAGCUAUCUUGAAACUCCAGGAUCCUUCACUCCUGCUGCAACAAAACCAUCUCCUACCCCUUCAGCAGUUCUCACCCACUUAUGUUGCUUCUGACCAUGUAAAAGUUAAAAUUCUUUGAACUUGAACUACUUGAUGCUUAUUAAUAUUAAUUAGUUGAUUACAUUUUCAUGAAUUGUAAUUGUUUAAAUAGGUUUACAGGGUGUUCAUGCUGCCCCAUGUUUUAAAACAGGGCUUACUCAUCUUGAACAAUACCAAUUUUUUUAUGCAUAUCACAGUAGCAAUUCCUCGAAGUUUCUUGCACAUAUCAUUUAGCUUAAACAAGUUUUGGUAAGCUUCUAAAGGUCAUUUUAACCUUUUUCAUUUUGAAUGUUGCUAUUGUUACUGAUUAUGUGACAAAUGGUUUUGGAUUAAUUACAUAGGUGUAGAGCUCAUAGUAUAAUUUCCAAACCAUUUUUAUUCACUUAAGCAUAAUUUUAGAGUCCAAUUUUAUUUUCUUAGAAAAAAAACUGUAUGUUUUUGUUGUCAUUAGGACUAUUUUGAGGCCUCAAAUAUUUUGGUUCAAAUAUUUAUGCACAACAGAAACUCUUUUCCUUUAUUCUUUCCUAACUUGAAAAUAAAAUGUGGCAGUAGUAGGAUUAAAAGUAAAAUAUAGAAUCAACCAGCUAUUAUGAUGGUUGUAUGAAGGAUGUUUCUUACAGAAGUUUUGUCUAUAAACAACAAAAGUACUUGGUUAUCAUUUCAAAUUGACUGUGGAACGCAAUUUUUUUUUUCUUUUUGGGAAAAAUUUGAGUGUUGGAGCACAAAUUUUAUGUAAGGGGCAUUUGAUCCUGAGAACUUGGUCAUACUUCCAAGAUCUUUUCUAGCUGGAAAUGAUAAUGAAUAGCAGAUUUUUGUCUUGGGGUAGGUGUUGAAGAAUAUAAAGAACUCAACCACAAUGCCAAAAAGUUAAAUAAUAAGUUAAAUGUCCUACUCAAACUUGGUUUGUGUUCCUUUACUAAACUAAUUAAACAAAUCUACCCGCAAUUAUGAAGCUUGAUCAAUAGACAAGACAAGCUGCAAAUGUAUUACAUUACUCUGAUUCUCUAGCUAUGGCAUCCUCAACAGCCCAAGCAGCAUUUAAAUGUUGGUUGCCAUCUUGGUUCUUUACCUCUUCUCGCAAAGCACCGGAUUACUUGGAUAAGAACCUCCAUUAAACGCAAUAUGGAAGCUCAGAACUUUGCUUAUGCAAGGAAAAUGCUCGACCUCCUCCUCUCAAAGGCUCUACCAAGCAUGCAGGAAUGCAGGAUGAAUUGAAGAGCCUGAUUAAAGAGGGCUCUCAAACAAGUCAAUUGAUCCAGAGGAAGAUCCUGCUCAAUUCUGUUAAGGCAAAGUAAUCCUCAUGCUUCUGUUAUUUUAU